AACGAACGCUGGCGGCAUGCCUAACACAUGCAAGUCGAACGAGACCUUCGGGUCUAGUGGCGCACGGGUGCGUAACGCGUGGGAAUCUGCCCUUCGGUUCGGAAUAACAGUUGGAAACGACUGCUAAUACCGGAUGAUUGCGUAAGUCCAAAGAUUUAUCGCCCAAGGAUGAUCCCGCGUAGGAUUAGCUAGUUGUUGAGGUAAAGGCUCACCUAGGCGCCGAUCCUUAGCUGGUCUGAGAGGAUGAUCAGCCACACUGGGACUGAGACACGGCCCAGACUACUACGGGAGGCAGCAGUGGGGAAUAAUGGACAAUGGGCGAAAGCCUGAUCCAGCAAUGCCGCGUGAGUGAUGAAGGCCUUAGGGUUGUAAAGCUCUUUUACCCGGGAUGAUAAUGACAGUACCGGGAGAAUAAGCUCCGGCUAACUCCGUG
rnacentral:rRNA from 1 species